rnacentral:rRNA from 2 species
AUUGCGCAGGGGAUACACCCGUUCCCAUCUCGAACACGACCGUUAAGCCCUGCUGCGCGGAUGGUACUGCUGGGGCAGCCUAGUGGGAGAGUACGUCGUUGCC